rnacentral:rRNA from 14 species
UAAGGUAGCGAAAUUCCUUGUCGGGUAAGUUCCGACCUGCACGAAUGGCGUAACGACUUCCCCGCUGUCUCCAACAUCGACUCAGCGAAAUCGAAUUGCCUGUCAAGAUGCAGGCUUCCCGCGGUUAGACGGAAAGACCCCGUGCACCUUUACUACAGCUUCGCACUGGCAUCAGGAUUGUGAUGUGCAGGAUAGGUGGUAGGCUUUGAAGCGGUGACGCCAGUCAUCGUGGAGCCUCCCUUGAGAUACCACCCUUCGCACUCUUGAUGUCUAACCGCGGUCCGUUAUCCGGAUCCGGGACCAUGCGUGGCGGGUAGUUUGACUGGGGCGGUCGCCUCCUAAAGAGUAACGGAGGCGCGCGAUGGUAGGCUCAGGACGGUUGGAAACCGUCUGCGAGAGUGCAAUGGCAUAAGCCUGCCUGACUGCGAGACUGACGAGUCGAGCAGAGACGAAAGUCGGUCAUAGUGAUCCGGUGGUCCCUCGUGGAAGGGCCAUCGCUCAACGGAUAAAAGGUACUCUGGGGAUAACAGGCUGAUACCGCCCAAGAGUUCAUAUCGACGGCGGUGUUUGGCACCUCGAUGUCGGCUCAUCUCAUCCUGGGGCUGUAGCCGGUCCCAAGGGUAUGGCUGUUCGCCAUUUAAAGUGGUACGUGAGCUGGGUUUAGAACGUCGUGAGACAGUUCGGUCCCUAUCUGCCGUGGGUGUAGGAUACUUGAGAGGAGUUGCCCCUAGUACGAGAGGACCGGGGUGGACGAACCUCUAGUGUACCUGUUGUGACGCCAGUUGCAUCGCAGGGUAGCUACGUUCGGA